rnacentral:rRNA from 21 species
UUAAGUUAUUAAGGGCGCACGGUGGAUGCCUUGGCACUAGAAGCCAAUGAAGGACGUUACUAACGACGAUAUGCUUUGGGGAGCUGUAAGUAAGCUUUGAUCCAGAGAUUUCCGAAUGGGGAAACCCAGCAUGAGUUAUGUCAUGUUAUCGAUAUGUGAAUACAUAGCAUAUCAGAAGGCACACCCGGAGAACUGAAACAUCUUAGUACCCGGAGGAAGAGAAAGAAAAUUCGAUUCCCUUAGUAGCGGCGAGCGAAACGGGAAGAGCCCAAACCAACAAGCUUGCUUGUUGGGGUUGUAGGACACUCUAUACGGAGUUACAAAGGACGACAUUAGACGAAUCAUCUGGAAAGAUGAAUCAAAGAAGGUAAUAAUCCUGUAGUCGAAAAUGUUGUCUCUCUUGAGUGGAUCCUGAGUACGACGGAGCACGUGAAAUUCCGUCGGAAUCUGGGAGGACCAUCUCCUAAGGCUAAAUACUCUCUAGUGACCGAUAGUGAACCAGUACCGUGAGGGAAAGGUGAAAAGCACCCCGGAAGGGGAGUGAAAUAGAACCUGAAACCGUGUGCUUACAAGUAGUCAGAGCCCGUUAAUGGGUGAUGGCGUGCCUUUUGUAGAAUGAACCGGCGAGUUACGAUUUGAUGCAAGGUUAAGCAGUAAAUGUGGAGCCGUAGCGAAAGCGAGUCUGAAUAGGGCGUUUAGUAUUUGGUCGUAGACCCGAAACCAGGUGAUCUACCCUUGGUCAGGUUGAAGUUCAGGUAACACUGAAUGGAGGACCGAACCGACUUACGUUGAAAAGUGAGCGGAUGAACUGAGGGUAGCGGAGAAAUUCCAAUCGAACCUGGAGAUAGCUGGUUCUCUCCGAAAUAGCUUUAGGGCUAGCCUCAAGUGAUGAUUAUUGGAGGUAGAGCACUGUUUGGACGAGGGGCCCCUCUCGGGUUACCGAAUUCAGACAAACUCCGAAUGCCAAUUAAUUUAACUUGGGAGUCAGAACAUGGGUGAUAAGGUCCGUGUUCGAAAGGGAAACAGCCCAGACCACCAGCUAAGGUCCCAAAAUAUAUGUUAAGUGGAAAAGGAUGUGGCGUUGCCCAGACAACUAGGAUGUUGGCUUAGAAGCAGCCAUCAUUUAAAGAGUGCGUAAUAGCUCACUAGUCGAGUGACACUGCGCCGAAAAUGUACCGGGGCUAAACAUAUUACCGAAGCUGUGGAUUGUCCUUUGGACAAUGGUAGGAGAGCGUUCUAAGGGCGUUGAAGCAUGAUCGUAAGGACAUGUGGAGCGCUUAGAAGUGAGAAUGCCGGUGUGAGUAGCGAAAGACGGGUGAGAAUCCCGUCCACCGAUUGACUAAGGUUUCCAGAGGAAGGCUCGUCCGCUCUGGGUUAGUCGGGUCCUAAGCUGAGGCCGACAGGCGUAGGCGAUGGAUAACAGGUUGAUAUUCCUGUACCACCUAUAAUCGUUUUAAUCGAUGGGGGGACGCAGUAGGAUAGGCGAAGCGUGCGAUUGGAUUGCACGUCUAAGCAGUAAGGCUGAGUAUUAGGCAAAUCCGGUACUCGUUAAGGCUGAGCUGUGAUGGGGAGAAGACAUUGUGUCUUCGAGUCGUUGAUUUCACACUGCCGAGAAAAGCCUCUAGAUAGAAAAUAGGUGCCCGUACCGCAAACCGACACAGGUAGUCAAGAUGAGAAUUCUAAGGUGAGCGAGCGAACUCUCGUUAAGGAACUCGGCAAAAUGACCCCGUAACUUCGGGAGAAGGGGUGCUCUUUAGGGUUAACGCCCAGAAGAGCCGCAGUGAAUAGGCCCAAGCGACUGUUUAUCAAAAACACAGGUCUCUGCUAAACCGUAAGGUGAUGUAUAGGGGCUGACGCCUGCCCGGUGCUGGAAGGUUAAGAGGAGUGGUUAGCUUCUGCGAAGCUACGAAUCGAAGCCCCAGUAAACGGCGGCCGUAACUAUAACGGUCCUAAGGUAGCGAAAUUCCUUGUCGGGUAAGUUCCGACCCGCACGAAAGGCGUAACGAUUUGGGCACUGUCUCAACGAGAGACUCGGUGAAAUCAUAGUACCUGUGAAGAUGCAGGUUACCCGCGACAGGACGGAAAGACCCCGUGGAGCUUUACUGUAGCCUGAUAUUGAAAUUCGGCACAGCUUGUACAGGAUAGGUAGGAGCCUUUGAAACGUGAGCGCUAGCUUACGUGGAGGCGCUGGUGGGAUACUACCCUAGCUGUGUUGGCUUUCUAACCCGCACCACUUAUCGUGGUGGGAGACAGUGUCAGGCGGGCAGUUUGACUGGGGCGGUCGCCUCCUAAAAGGUAACGGAGGCGCUCAAAGGUUCCCUCAGAAUGGUUGGAAAUCAUUCAUAGAGUGUAAAGGCAUAAGGGAGCUUGACUGCGAGACCUACAAGUCGAGCAGGGUCGAAAGACGGACUUAGUGAUCCGGUGGUUCCGCAUGGAAGGGCCAUCGCUCAACGGAUAAAAGCUACCCCGGGGAUAACAGGCUUAUCUCCCCCAAGAGUUCACAUCGACGGGGAGGUUUGGCACCUCGAUGUCGGCUCAUCGCAUCCUGGGGCUGUAGUCGGUCCCAAGGGUUGGGCUGUUCGCCCAUUAAAGCGGUACGCGAGCUGGGUUCAGAACGUCGUGAGACAGUUCGGUCCCUAUCCGUCGUGGGCGUAGGAAAUUUGAGAGGAGCUGUCCUUAGUACGAGAGGACCGGGAUGGACAUACCUCUGGUGUACCAGUUGUCGUGCCAACGGCAUAGCUGGGUAGCUAUGUGUGGACGGGAUAAGUGCUGAAAGCAUCUAAGCAUGAAGCCCCCCUCAAGAUGAGAUUUCCCAACUUCGGUUAUAAGAUCCCUCAAAGAUGAUGAGGUUAAUAGGUUCGAGGUGGAAGCAUGGUGACAUGUGGAGCUGACGAAUACUAAUCGAUCGAAGACUUAAUCAA